ACCGCUGCAGCUCUCGGUAGAGCACCAGGUACUUAACCCGGAGGUUCGGGGACGACGGUCCCUCGGUUCGACUCCCGACAGCGGUACCA
rnacentral:tRNA from 1 species